CAGACUAAGACGAAUACUAACUGAGGACCCACCAGACUUGGAGAAAUAAACCCCUUUUGACUGAGCCAACUGAGGCUGCUCUUGAAAUCAAAAUCUAUCAUAAAGUAAGAGUGAAGCUGCAGCGUGGGUCUACCUAAAACUCAAUUCAAGACAGUGAUGAAUAAACUCAAAGGAAAGGAAAAUCAUUUGGCAACCGGAAGGUGUGGGAGGAUAGCUGUAAAUGAAACUGACGGCAAAAAACAGAGCAGAGAAGUUUAAAGAAAAAAAAUAACAGCAUUCCUGGUGAUGCCCCAUUGGGCCAAUGAAACAAACACAUUCUGAAGCCUUUCCUAACCAGGAGCCAACCAAUCUCAUCACUGUGAAGCCAGAAAACCCUAUCUAUUGAAGAUGACUGCUUUCUUCUACUGUAGCUGGCAAUUUUAUGAAAUGAAGAAAAUUUGCUCUAGUUGCAAGUGACACACACCUCUUAAAUGUCUGCUAUCAAUUAAAAGUAAAAUACUGGUUACUUGCAACUAUCAAUUAGAUACAAUGCACUCCAGGAGAUCAGGAGCCUUGGCAUUCAGACAUAGGAGCAUUUUUUUGGCUUUGCCAUUUACUUGCAAUGUGACCUUGAUGAGAGAGAAGUUGAUGCUCAGCGAGGUGAAGUAAUUUGCCCAGGGUUAAGAUUCAAAUGCAAGUCUGGGGACCCUGAAGUCUGCUUCUUUUCACUGUGCUGCGUAGUGGCCUUAGCCUUUCCUUUCUAACAGAGAAGCCAAGACAGCAUACCUGUGUCUGAGUGCCCCAGUGGUGUGCACAUCUAUUACCUCAGGAAGAAAGAAUGUCUGAGGAGACGAAAUUUGCAAACAGUUACAAAGGACUGCACACACAAAUAUGAAUAAAGCCUCUUGAACACCAGAGUAAAGGAAUGUAGGUCAAAUAAUUGCCCUGUUCAGUGUCUCCCUCUCCCUCUUCAUUACCCAACUCCUCUCAUUUGCAUACAUGAGGCCCCAAGUGGAAGAUAACUUGGUGGAAAAUUCCAGGAGCUUUGCAACUAUCAUUAAAAGCAAAAGUUCAAGAAAUAAGGAAAGAAUUUUAAAUUCACUUUGUUUUAACUCAUGAUUAUUCUAAUUUAAAAGCUCAGAUUUAGUAAUGUGUUCAGAGCCAACUAGGCAUAGAAAACUGUAGCAAGCCUCUGGAAAAAUAAGCCUUGUUUGGCUGUUUUUUUUGGUUGUUGUUGUUGUUGUUUUGUUUUUGUUUUUUGAGACAGAGUCUCACUCUGUUGCCUAGUCUGGAGUGCAAUGGCAUGAUAUCG
rnacentral:lncRNA from 1 species